rnacentral:rRNA from 1 species
UACGUAGGGGGCGAGCGUUGUCCGGAGUUACUGGGCGUAAAGGGCACGCAGGCGGUGCGGCGCGUUUCGCGUGACAGCGGAGGGCUUAACUCUCCGAGGAUGCGAAAGACGGCGGCACUUGAGGGCCAGAGAGGGACACGGAAUUCCGGGUGGAGUGGUGAAAUGCGUAGAGAUCCGGAGGAACACCGAAGGCGAAGGCAGUGUCCUGGCUGGUGACUGACGCUGAGGCGCGAAAGCUAGGGGAGCGAACGGG